rnacentral:rRNA from 1 species
AUUGAACGCUGGCGGCAGGCUUAACACAUGCAAGUCGAACGAGUGGCGGACGGGUGAGUAAUGCUUGGGAAUCUAGCUUAUGGAGGGGGAUAACUACGGGAAACUGUAGCUAAUACCGCGUACCAUAGGAUGAGCCCAAGUGGGCUGAGGUAGUUGGUGGGGUAAAGGCUCACCAAGCCGACGAUCUCUAGCUGGUCUGAGAGGAUGACCAGCCAUACGGGGUCUGUGAACCUGCCCUGACUCCGACGGGAGGUAGCAGUGGGGCAUAUUGGGCAAUUGGGGCAACCGGACGGAGCCAUGCCGCUUGAAUGAAGAAGGCCUUCGGGUUGUAAAGUUCUUUCGGUAGCGAGGCGUUAACUACAGAAGAAGCACCGGCUAACUCCGUGCCAGCAGCCGCGGUAAUAC